UUUAAAUUAUAGAUUUUCUAAAAUGUGGACGUUUACAAGUGGCUAAUAUUAAAAAACCUUCAAAAUUUGAGAAAACGGAGGUAAGAUACACGCUAGAUCAAUGCUGCGCACGAAAUGAUAACGUCCACUGUGAGCUUAGCUUCUAUUUUAUUAUGUAUAAUAGCGGUAUCAAGCUCAACCCCGUCAUCACAUCAUGGGGCAUUACCAUCACACCAGAAAUACUAUGGUAGCCCCAUCAAUGUACAGGCCGCAGACCAGAACAAAAAUGGAGAAAUUGCCUGCAUAUCACCCGACACCAACAUAUAUGAAAUAUAUCACAAGGCAGAGAAAGAAGCUAAAGGCGUAGACAUGAAAUGUCAUUUCUAUUUACACAACAAAGAAAAAUCUGAAUACAUCGGCACUCUAGACAUCAACAAGGCAUUAUUUGACAAACUACUCACGAAAUAUAAGCAUUGGUUGCUCACUAAACUAGAUUCAAGCAAUAAUGUAGUUCAAAAUCAAAGAGAUAAGGUUGAAAAUCGUUUGAUUGGAGUUGAAGGAGAUGAUGAUAUAAGCAAUAAUGGAGUUAAAGAUGAAAGGGUUAAGGUUGAUAGUCGUUUGAGUGGUGAUGCUGAAGCAGCAGAUAGGAAGAAUGGUCAUCAUAACACACAUCAUCAUAAACCACAUCACAGUAAAGAUAGUCAUCAUGUAAAAGAUAUUGAUGAUAAAAGAACUAAAAAUAAACAUUACAUAGAAUUAGACCCAAAAUACAAUGAGACACAUAAAUAUUUUGAAGUAUUUCUACCAAAAAAUAAACAUAAAGAUGAUCCUCGUACUAUAUACAUCAAUGUAGAUGAAGAAAACAAAGAAUUUUCGCUUUUUGACAACGAAAAACAUAGAGAAAUGAACUAUAAGCCAAUCAAAAUUGGCUUGAGAGAACUAUCUGCUAUUGCUGACGUCAUAUUCAGUAAAGCUGAGGCUGGGAAGACUGUUUUUACAGUAAAUGACGAAAAUAGUCAAGAUUCUGAAAAAUAUGAAAUUAAAAAUGUUGAUUAUGAAAGUGUUGACGAAGAAGAAGGCGGGCUAGAUGAUAAUUCAGUUGAUUUAGACUCUGCAGCCAAUGAUGCAGAUAUAUCUGAUCAUGAAAUUGAUACUAUAGAUGAUAAUUACACGGAACUUAAUGAAACUGACGUUGAUGAACAUGAAAAUAUUGACUACGAUAAUACAACGGACUAUUUAGAUUUAAACAAUACGGAAACCAAUGUAUAUGAUGACGCAAUACAAACAGAGACAGCUAAUAAUGAUACUGAACCUUAUAUUGAUGAUAAUAUAGUCGAAAGUAAUAUAACUGAACCGUUUUCUGAUUAUGAUGAACUACGUACCGACAAUAAUGAAGAUUUAGACAACGAAACUCUCACACAAUUUGAAGACAAUCAACAUAUUGAUAAAGCCACUAUAACAGUUGAUAACAAUAACAUAUCUAAUAUAGAAGUACAUGAAAUCUCUUCUGAAGACGCAGAACAGCAAGGAAAUAUACUAAAAGAAGAUAACAGAAGAUCUGAACAAGAAGAAAACGGUUUACGAGCUCAAGAAUAUUAUGCAGCAGUUCCAGAUUGCAAUGUAAGGUUUGAUAAUAUUUGUAAUAAUAGACAAGUACCACUAAAUCCAACUAAAAUGUCUAAUGUAAAGCCACAUAUAGACAUAUCACAAGCUUUGCCAAAUGCUUUAGAAGUUUGUAAAAAUGUCCCGUCAAAUUCAAAUUUUGAUUCUUGUAUGAGACCAAAUGUAGUAUCUUUACCUAUUUCUAAUUCUAAACCAUGCAAUAACGUAAAUUUUGAUUCUUCUAUGAGACCAAAUGCAGUAUCUUUACCUAUUUCCAAUUCUAAACCAUGCAAUGCAAUUGAUUCUUCAGAAGAAUUGCUAUUACCAAAUAAUUCUCCACAAUUUAUACCGCAACAAAAUUUGUGUACCCUACCAAAUGAGCCUUGUUCCACUACAUUAUCAAAUACUAUUCAUAUGCCCAUUCAAAGUGAUAGAAAUAUCAAAAAUGUUCCUUCAAAUGUUUUAAACUAUAAUUCGAAGUUACCACCAUAUGUUCUGAAUCCACAAUAUCAAAUGCCGCUUAAGAAUAAUGCUAAUUUUAUAGAUAAUUCGGCUAAUAUUUGCAAUUCAUUGCCCAAUUUGAAUAAGUAUAGAAAUUAUUGUCCUCCAUUUCAAAAUCCAGUUCAACAAUCAUCAUCUUGUGUAUCUCCAAAAGAUCUUUUAACUAAACUUAAUAAAAAAACUCCUCCUAAUUUAGUUUCAUAUCCAUACAGCAACAGACAAAUAUCACCUCUAAAUUAUCCUAGCACAAAGCCCAAUUUCCCACCAAACUCACUAUGGUACCCUCAAUAUAAACCAUGUCUCCCUUUCAGCUAUAAAGAUCAAAAUCCCCUGCCAUCAUCAUCAAACAUUUGUUCAAAUCUACCCUUAAACAACCUUUGUAUACCAAACAAAAUUUUGGAACCAGCAAAGAAAUAUAGUCCUUACAACAUUCAUUUAUCUCCAAACGACGAUAUGACUAUAGAUCCUACGAAAUUUGGGUAUAUAACUGCUAUGCCUUUUACUAAAGCAAUUACUCCUACCAAAUCUUGGGUACCGGCUUUCAAAUCAUCAGCUAAUAUGAACAAAGCACUCGAUUCUUCAGAACAUAAUCGUCUAGAUACUACUUUACCAAGCUUUCAUUCAUCAUUUGAAGAUGAGAGUCGAAAUUUUGUCCAUGAAUCUUCUAUUUCAAACACAAAUUUGGAUUCUUCUCUCACAGGUCCAUCUUUAAAUUUAAAUCCUUCAACACUACUACCUAAUUCUAAUAAUUUAAAUAAUGCAAAUGUCUUAUCCAAUGAAACUUUAGAAGCUCUUAUAAAGCUUUUAACUCAGUCUGGUUAUUUAGUAACCGGUACAGGUUCAAAAGCUUUAGACUUAGCCACUGGCUUAACUGAAAACAAAUUAACUUCACCCGCGACUUUGGACUCUACUCUCAUAGGUUCAGGAUUGAAUUUCAAUCAACCACCAGUUGAGUUAACAUCAGGUCUAAUAUCACCAGCCAAUUUAGACUCUACUCUCAUUGGUUCUAAGUUGAAUUUCAAUCAACCACCAAUUGAGUUACCAUCAGGUGCUGGGUCUUCAAAUGUUGUUUCUUUACCUCUAGAUUCCACUCUUUUAGGUGAAAACAAAUUAGUAUCACCAUCAACUUUAGACUCUACUCUCAUAGGUUCUAAGUUGAAUUUCAAACAACCACCAGUUGAGUCAACAUUAGGCGCUUUAGGGUCUCCAAAUGUUGUUUCUUUACCUCUAGAUUCCGCUCUUUUAGGUCCAGGUUUAGAUUUGUUAAGACCUUUAGAUUCAACACUAAUCGGUCCAUAUAUAGAUUUAAAUAAAUCACCAAGUAAUUUUAUAAAAGGUGCAGUUAAUCCAAAUGUAUUACCGACUACGGUAAAUGAAAUUAAUACUUUAGCUAACCUUGAUUUGCAUAGAUUGAAUGCUUUAGAUUCUUCUUUAGUAGGUCCAGGUUUAAGCUUAGAUACAUCAGCUAAAGCAUCUUCUUUAGAUUCCAUACCUGUUAGUCCAAAUUCUGGCUUGAAUGUACUCUCUAGUUCGUUUGCAAGUUCAAAUGUAUCACCAUCAGAUUUGAAUAGAAACACGGAGUCAAUAGCAUUACCGACUUUAGAUUCUACGUUAUUAGGUUCAAAAUUACAGUUACCAAAGUUAACACUAGAUAGUUCUUUAAUAGGACCUAGUUUAGAAACACUAUCUUCAGCACCUAUGUUUGAAAAUCGUUCUCCAAAUAUGAUAGUGGAUGAUAAUAAUGAUACAGCUUAUGGUAAUGUACCAGAAUUAUUAAAAGGUACACUAGAAACAAAAUUAGGAGAAGAUUUAGUAGAAAAACCUGUUGAAAAGGAUGUAUCUAACAUUAUAAACGUAGAUAUACCUAAUAGCGAUGAAACAAAAGUAGAUUCUCCUGGUAUAGAUACGGAUAAUGAUUUCAAUUCAAAUAUUAUAGAAACAACACUAGAAUCGAAUGUAGAUUCGGUAGAAGAAUUCCCUGUAGGAGACGAAUUAAAUACAAUAAAUGUAAAUUUAACUAACAAUACUGAAUCUCAAAUAGAGAACCCAAUCACAAUUAUAAAUAAUAAAGCUGUUAAUGCCUCAACAGACAUGUUACAAACAGAAUUAGACUUAAACACCACAGUUGAAGGUGUAGAAUCGCAUGCUAAUUUUGAUAUUGUAGAACCAGAGAAUGAAACAAACAAGUUAGGAGGAACUGUUGUAGAUUCGGGUUUAAAUGAAGAAAUUAAAACAUUGAAUAAUGUAGAAAAUGUAACUGGAAUAUCUAAUAUAGAAGUAAAUAUAGAUGUACCCGUCCUUGAUUCUAAUAGUUCAGAAGAUAACAUGAAAUUAGAACUAGAAGAGCAUCCAAUAGAUGUAUCAAAUACACCUAAACAUGAAGAAAAUCCCGAAGAUACUAUAGUUCUGUCCACUACAAAUAUCAAAGAUGGUGAUUUACACACACAAACAGAUGGAAAUGAUGUUACUAAUAAUAUUGAAGAAAUAAAUGUUACAGAGAAAUUACUAGCUGCAAAUGCUCCAAACGAAGUAAUAAAUAUCAAUUCUGAUACAGAAGCUACUAAUCCCGCAACAGACGAACAUUUAGUCCAAAUAAAUAAUCCAGAACUAAUUUAUAAUGUACCAGAUGAUACUAAAAAGGUUUUAACACAAGAAUCAAGAAUAGCAAUCCCAAAUGAUGUAGCAACUGCACUCGAUAGCACACUAAUUGGUCCUAGUCUAGAGAUGUUAAAGGAAACUCCACUUAAUCUUAUAGGAGGUAAAGUCGAUAGUUCUUUGAUAGGUCCCAGUAUAUUUCCGAAAAUGGUUAGUACUGUACAUGUUCCUGAUAUAAAAGGUGAUAAUAUUUUAGACACAUCUCUGAUAGGUGCUAGUCUAUUUAAAGGUAAUACUAUAGAAAUGAAACCUAGAUUAAAUUCUGAAACAAAUCUAGACAGUUCUUUAAUAGGUCCUAGUUUAAAUCAAGACGCAAAUAAUUAUUUAGCUAAUGACAGAGAAGGAGAUAGAGUAAAUCUACCAGUAGAUGGAGGUAAAGCUAACAAUUUAGUAGAAGAUAGAUUUGCAGAUAAUUCUUUAGUAGGUCAUACUCUUCCAGUAGAAGAAUAUACGCCUACUAUAGUAGAUAAUCCUUUAGAAUACUUUGAUGAUGCAAACAAACUACAAAAUGCAUUGUUAUCUAUAUUAAAUUCUGCAAAUACAAUAGACAGUUCUCUAACAGAAUCAGAUUUGUUAAGCGUAUCUAAAAACGCAGAAGACACUCUUAAUACAAAAGAAAGUCCUGAAUUCGUUUCAUCUAGAUUCCCACCUAUAGAUUCAUUUUACAAUUACAAUACUGGUUAUGACUCAUCAAUUAAAAAUGCACCUUCACCUACAGGUAUAGGGUCACCUUUUGUUUGCACAGUGCCACCAACGCCUGUAUUUUCAUCUACGUCUAUAACACCAUCUUUGUAUCCUUCAAGUAUACCUUAUAGUAAUGUAUUAUCUCCUUCAUAUCCCCCGCCUUUAUAUUUAAAUUUCUUACCUCACACAAGAAAUGAGUAUCCUCCCCUAUAUUUACCAGCUCCUAAACCUUUUAAAACUUCCAUAGUAUCUGAUCAAAAUAUCCCAAAUUCAUCUUUACCACCAUCUAUGUAUUCUUACCCUGUACUAACUGGUAAUACAUUACCUAGUGCUUCAGAAUCUAAGUCUUUUGCACCUAUACCUGCAAUUCCUAAUUCUAGACCAGUUUCAAUAUCUACAACUGCACAAAACAUACCAAAUUCAUUCCUACUGAAAUCAUUACCACCAUCUUUAUAUUUAAACCCUAUAUUAACUGGUAACGCAUUCCCUAGUACUUCAGAAUCUAAGUCUUUUAUACCUAUACCUGCAAUUCCUAAUUCUAGACCAGUUUCAAUACCUAUAACUUCGCCAUCAUCAUCCUCAUUAGUUAAACCAUAUCAAACUUUAACAUUACCAUCCCAACCAUUAUUAAAAGAUAAUUCGUUUACUGUCUUUAAGCCUUAUUCAAAUUAUUUAUUGCCAUCUAUCUCUGUAGCACCUAAAUUGCCAGAGGUCUUUAUAAAUUCACUUCCCACGAAAUCUUCUUCAACGUAUCUUACAAACCCGUUUAUAGUUAAUAGUAAAGUAUUAUCAUCAGUACCGAAUAUAUGUCCAAUGUUAUCUAACUCUAUAUCUUCAUUAGCACCAUCUUCAGCAAUUUCUAGCCCUGUCUCUCCAUUAAAUUUACAAACGUUAACUUCAUCAAAUUUAUUAAAUAUCUCUCCAUCUUUGUUACAAGACCAACCGAUACAAUUUCUACCACAAAGUCUUUCUUUGCUUCCAAGUAUACAAUCUAUAACAUUACCUUAUUCACCAAACACGCCAUAUUUAUUAAAAUCAACUACUGAUUAUCAAAAACCUCUUUAUACUUCAAUUAUAAAUUCUUUGCCAAGAGCUGAUUGCAUAAAAUUACCAAGAGAAUUAAACACACAACUUCCUUUACCUAUAUCUAAAGCUCCCAUUUGUUUUAACACACUAAUAGACUCGCCUGUAAACAAAUGGGCGAUACCAUCAUCUGUAACUCCUGCACAAAACAUAGCUACUCCUUUUUCAUCAACACCAAUAGCAAUGACACCAGAAUUUUCCAAAAUAUCAACACAAAUUCCAGAAUAUAAACCAUAUUUCCAGAUUUCGUCCGUUCCAAUAAAUACUCCAUUAUCAGAAUGGAAAUGCUUCACUCCAAAUGAAUAUAUACCUAAACUGUUAAAAUCUAAAGUUUCAUUUCCAUAUUUGAAACCAGAAUCUCAAAUAAUUGAUAAAGAAAAAGAGUCUCUAUUGUUCAAUGAAAUAAUGUCUCUUUUAGAACAACCUAAAUCUGAAAUGUCAAGAGAUGCACAUGUUACUAGUACUUUACCUCCUAACACAGCUACUGUAUCAUCUACAUCUAUUCUAAACUCUAUUCCAAUGCCAAUAGAGUUUAAAAUACAAUCAACUCCACCUUUAACUAGUAUGAACCAAAUUAAACCUUUGAGUACUAAUUCAAUAAAAUAUAUUGAAAAUCUAAAUAUGCCAUCGUAUUUUGAACCUAAAGGAAUACUAGAUAUAAAACAUAGAAUGCCAAAUCUUCUAAUGAAAGAAACUGACAAUAAUUUUAUAAUAGACAAAGAAACUAUAAAUGAGAUAGAAAGUCUUUUAGAAAGAGACAAACAAUCACGUUCUAUACCUCAGUUUGAUGCAAAUGUUAUAUCUGAACUGAAAGAACCAAUGUAUAGUGUAAUACAAGGUGAUUUUGAACCGUGUGUCAGUGAAGAUAGAACUCUAAUUUCAAUGGCAAGCCCAGUGGCUUUAGCUAGACCAAUAUUAGGAGUUAACAACCUAAAUCCUCCUUAUACAAUGUAUAAUUUACCUACAGUCGAUUUUAAACCAUAUACUACUGAUGAUAAAGCUCCAAUUUGGAUGUCAAGCUUAGCGCCUUAUGCUAGACCAAGUAUAGGAGUUAAUAAUUUGAAGUCUCCUAAUCCAAUAUACAGUUUAACGCCAAGCAAAUAUGAGCCUUAUACUGUCUACGAUAAAACUCAAACUCCUAUAGCAAGCCCGGUAUCUUUUGCUAGACCAAAAGUAAACAGUUUUAUAACUCCAUUUGCUAUUCAAAAUACACCCUUAACAUCAGCACCUCAUUCAAGCGAAUAUAGUCCUUAUACACCAGUGAUAGAGACUAGACUCGCUUCUUUGACUCCAUCAACAGAAUCCACACCAGUUCCUUUGUCAGAUAUGUCUUCAGUUACUAAUGAAUAUUUGUCUUUACAUAAGAAUUUAGAGAACUUGCGACCACAAUCUUUAAUAUUACCAAAUUCUCAAUUAACUCCAUUAAAUCUAAUCAAGAUUGAGAAUAAACCUAUUAAUGAAAAUACACUUCCAAAAACUGACAGUUUUAACUGGUCAGAAAUAGAUUUGAAGGAUUUUGAACAUUAUGUAGAGGAGACAGAGACUAAUAUAGCUAAAACAGAUGUUGAUAAGGCUAUGGAUGAGAAUGAUUUAAAGGAUUUUGGACCUUAUGAAGAGGAUACAGAGACUAGUAUAGCUAAAACAGACGUUUAUAACGCUGAGGACAAUAGAUUAGUAUACAGUAAUGAUUUGUUUGACAAAAACCAUGAAGAACCAUUUAUUUCAGAGACACAAGAACUUAAUUACAUACAGGAGGAAAAGGAUUUGCUGCCUUAUGCCUCUCCUAAUAGAGAUGCUUUUGUAAAAACUAUCUCUCCAUCACUGAGAGCAAAUCUUCCACAAAAUACAUUUAAGAGCUUACCUAUUGAAACUGUUCCAUCUCGUCUGAAAUAUGCCACACCAAUUUCAACCUUACCUUCACAGAUAUUGAAACCCUUAUCGCUUACACCUUACAAAUCAACAUUAGACAAAGUCAAUCCAUUUAAAUUGUCACCAAUUUGUGAAAAUGUAAUAUCUCCUUUAUCUACACCGUCAUCAAUGAAAUAUACUCCUAGUAUAUCAAUGAAACCUUUACAAAAUAUACCCAUUUCUGCUUACCCAACUGUUCCUACAUCUACAUUUUCACCACCAAACAUAGCUUCAUUACCUACUGGAUCAUUUCAAUCAUCUCUAUUAACUCCUAUGCCUAAAUCAUUUUUAAAAUCAUCAGUGCCUUUAACUAAUUCAUUACCAAACAAUCUUCAAUACUUAACAUCUACAAAACCAUGUCAACCUAUACCCAUAACUGUGACUCCUACUCCAUCAUCGGAGUUUAAACCAUAUUUCCCAGUAAAUAAAGUCUCAUAUCCUUCAGCUAGUGUAACUCCAUCAUCAGCUCCAAAUAUCUUAGACGUCACACCAUUAAUACCUUUAUCACAAGUAAAAGAACAACCAUGCCUUCCAUUUGAAUCUAAACCAUAUUCUCCAGUAAAUAAAGUCUCAAAUCCUUUGCCUAGUGUAUCUCCAUGUACUGUUUUAUCUUUACCAUGUGAUAAUACUGUUGCUUCUUCUUACAAAAGUCCGUUUAAAACACUUUCGUCUUCUCCUAUGGUUUAUAGUACUCCAAAAUUGACUCCUUUACCUUGUACUACACCUGUAACUAUUCCAGGUUCUAUAACAGAUUAUUCUACAUACACACCGAGUUAUCCAACUAAAACUUUACCUAUACCACCUUUGACAUCAAAUGUUACGCCAUUGGAAAAUAAACCUUCUUUACCAUCAUUUAAGUCUUCUUUUAAAUCACAGAUGCCUUUAAAACCUGUCUACAGUUCCAUUACACCAACAUUAUCAUCACCUGUUAUGCAAAUUUUAGAUCUACCAUCUAAUCCUUACCUACCAUUUUCUAAAUCAACACCAAUAUGUGAAAAUAUUCCAUCAUUACUACCAUCUGUAAGUUCAACACCAUAUACUAAGCCACCUAUAACCAGUUAUAUUCCAAAUGUAAGUCCAGAUUUCAAUAAAAAUCUAGAAAUGUUAAGUCCAAAAGAAUAUCAACCUUUUGCCACUGGAUAUACAGUUAAAAAUCCUGUGUCAGGCAUAAAAAAUCCUUUCAUCUCUUCUUCUGUUUCUCCUAUAGAAAAGUCGCCUCUAUUACCACUGUCAAAUUGUUUAAAUUCCUUUAAACUAAAAGAACAUCAGCCUUAUGCUACUGGAUAUACAGUUCAAAAUCCUUUGUCAGGAAUAAAAAAUCCUUUCAUCACUUCUUCUGUCUCUCCCAUAGAAAUGUCGCCUCUAUUACCACUAUCAAAUGGUUUAAAUUCCUUCACACCAUACACUUCUACAGUCCAAAUCCCAUCUUUAAUAUCACCACACCCAUCUUCAUAUACUCCUAAAUUACCAUGCACAACUGAAACACCAGUUCCAAUUAAACCAAUUUUAUUACCAACGAAAAAUUAUAUAGCUCAAAAUCUUCCAUUUGUAUCAAACAUACCAUGUUUAAGACCAUUAUUACCUAAAACUGAAUCUUCUAUUUCUUCUCCAUGUAUAAACGUAAUGCCUUCAAAACCAUUAAGUUUAGGUUCAGGAAAUAUUCAACCUAUUGAAGUCCCAUCAUCAUUUUUUAAGCUACCACCAUUAUCGUCAUAUAAUUUAAUAAAAGCACCAUCUAUAAAGCCAUGUCUAUCACCUUGUAUACCAAUAAAUCCAUUGGCCAACGCUCCAAUAAAUUCACCAGUAUCUACUAUAGUUCCUAAACCAUAUAUGCCAACAUUUGAACCCACUAUUUCACCAAACUCACCUUGUACAUCUAUUAAUAUACCAGCGUAUUUAACAUCAAAUACUCCAAUAAAUUCACUAGUAUCCACUAUAGUUCCUAAAUUAUACACGCCAAUAUUGGAACCAACUGUUCCACCAAAUUAUGUACCUUGUACAUCUGUUAAUAUACCAACGUAUUCACCAACCUAUACUCCAAUAAAUCUAUCACCAACUUCUAACCCAGUAACGAUAUCUACUAUAACGCCCAAAGCGUUUAUGCCAACAUUUGAACCAACUGUUUCAUCAAAUCAAUAUCUCCCAACUACCAUACCAGCAUAUUCACCAAACAAACCUUUGACCAAUACUUCAAGAAAUAUUUCACCAUCAUCGUAUCCGUUACCAAUAUCUACUACAGUUUCUAAACCAUAUACACCAAUAUUUGAACCAUUUAUUUCACCAAAUCACUAUCCCUCACCUUGUAUAUCUAUUAAUUUACCAGAAUAUUCCCCAACAAAUAUUUUAGCCAAUAUUCCAACAGAUACUAAGCCAAUCUCACCAGAACCAAUACCAGUAUCUACGUCAGCUCCGAAAUUAUACACACCAAGAUUUGAACCUACUAUUUUACCAAAUCACAUACCUUGUACAUCUAUGAAUAUACCAGCAUAUUCACCAACAAAUCCUUUGGUUAAUACUCCCAAUACUUCAAUAAAUAUUUCACCAACUUCUUACUUAUUACCAAUAUCUGCUACAGUUCCUAGACCAUAUAAGCCAACAUUUGGACCCAUUAUUCCACCAAAUCACCUACCUCCACCUAAUCAAUAUCUGCCACCUUGUAUACCUAUUAAUAUACCAGCAUAUUCACCAACAAAUCCGUUAACCAAUUCUCCAAUAAAUAUUUCACCAACAUUGCCGAUAUCCACUACAGCUCCUAAACCAUCUAUACCAACAUUUGAACCAACUGUUCCACCAAACCAAUAUGUCCCAACUACCAUACCAGUGUAUACACCAUCCACUCCUUUAGCUACUCCAAUAAAUAUUUUACCAACAUCUUACCCAGUUCCUAAACCUUCCAAGCCAACAUUUGGCCCAAUUAUUCCUUUAAGUCAGCCUUGUAUACCUAUUAAUUUACCAGCUUAUUCCCCAAUCACUCCUUUAGCCAAUGCUCCAAUAAAUGUUUUACCAACAUCUUACCCAGUUCCUAAACUUUCCACGCCAAUAUUUGAACCAAUUGUAGCACCAAAUCUGUAUCACUCACCUUGUUCAUCUGUUAAUAUACCAGCUUAUUCUCCAACCAAACCUUUACCCAAUCGUCCAACAAAUAUUUCACCAGGUUUUAACCCAGUACCGAUGUCUACUACAGCUCCUAAGCCAUGUACAGCAACAUUUGAACCAAUUGUUUCACCAAAUUACCUACCUUGUACACCUUUUAAUAUACCAGCGUAUUCACAAAACAAAACUUUAGUUAAUCGUCCAAUAAAUAUUUUACCAUCAUCUAACCUAGUACCAGUAUCCAAUACAGUUCCUAAAUCAUUUGAACCAACACUUCCACCAAAGCAAUAUCAACCACCUUGUUUACCUAUUAAUUUACCAGCGUAUACACCAACUAAUCCUCUAGCCAAUCGUCCAAUAAUUAAUUCACCAACAUCUUACGCAGUACCAAUGUCUACAACACCAUAUACACCAACAUUUGAACCAAGUAUUCCACCAAUUCAAUAUCAACCACCUUGCAUACCAAUAAAUAUGCCAGGCUAUACACCAACCUUACCAGUAUCUGCUACAGCUUCUAAACCUUACACACCAAUAUUGGAACCAAUUACACAAAUACAGACAUUACCUUCCAUCAUUUCUCCUCUUAAUACAAAGCCAACACAUACACAUCCACAUAUAUUACAAUCUCCAAUUAUUUCUUCAACUCCAAAUAUAUGUUCAGAAACUAUGAAGCCAUCUACUGUGUCUACACAGUCAUAUUCACCAUUUAUAUCUUUAUUAUCUAAUUUAAUGUCUCCGUUAGCAGACAAAUCUUUUAUAUGCAGUCAGCCAACACAAUUGCCUAUGGAAAAUCUACCAUGCAAAACUACACCACCAUCACCUAUAUGUAUACCAUCUUACAAAUCACCAUGUAUGCAAGAAAUUGUCACACCAUUCCCCACUAUAUACCAACCUUUAAGUCCCGUUUCGUCUGGUGCUAAAUCACCAAUAUCAUCUCCAAGUUAUUACCAGCUAUUAUCCCCUAUUUUAUCUAGACCUAAAUCCCCAGUAACACCUAUAUGUCUUCCACAAUCACCAUUUUAUACUCCGCUAUCAGAUUUACCUUUAAACACAGCAUACAAUUUACCAACUCCAAAACCUAUCCAAAAACCUCAUUUUUUCUUAAAAGCACAAAAUUAUAAAGACCUAACUCAGAUUCCCACUCCAUAUAUCACAAGCUAUUCUCAACCUUGUCCACAAACAAAUAAGGUACUAAAUCCAACAUCACCAGUUGAAUUUUUAAUACCUGAAUCUAGGAUAAAAGAAAAUAAAGAUUUUGCUAGCCUAGGAGAUUUAAAUAAUCUUCCUAAUUCACUAGAUGGUUAUAUACCAUAUAACGUAGAAGAAGAAAAAGAUAUAAAACCAGAAGACAAAGAAUUUGACAAUGAAAAUCUUUAUACAAAAGAAGAAAGCUUAUUCGAUACCACAACUGAAGUAUUUGAUCAUAAAAUGAAUAAAGAACUUUUAGAAGAUAACAUACAUUACAUAAAUGAAGACAGACCAGCUUACGACACAAAAUAUUUAAUAGAUAAUCACUACAUACAAGAAGUACCAAUAAAUACACUACGAAAUGAAGAUAAAAUAGACACUAUAGACUUCACAAACAGAAAAAUGGAAUACAACAAUCGUAUACCUAAAAAAGAAAAUAACACAGAAUUUGCUCAAGAACCACUCUACAAAACAGAUGAACUAACUCCCGAAAUAACUAAUAAAAAUCCUUACAUAGUUAACAAAAACGAUUACUAUACAAAUCAAUUUAAUAGACCUAGUACUAUAAAUUUGGAACCUAACCCUACCCUAAAUCUAGAUAAUUUACUUCUCCAACCAUCUAACAACUUUGAUUAUAAAGAAAUGCCUAAUAUUAAAUAUUCUGGUUACAAAAGUUACCAAACGCCUUUGACAAAUCCAAACAAUAUACCUCCUUUAAUUUGUAAUCCAUGUAUACCGACAUAUCGAAGUAUGGAUUCAAAAUUAGGACUUGAUUUCAACCCUACAAAUAUAUACACACCUACUGGAAAUAUUUUAACUCAACCUGAAUUCAACUUUAACACUAUAAACUUGGGUCCAAAAUCCCUUGAUUUAACACGCCCAGAAACAAACUUUAAUAAUUUUAAUCUAAGUCCAAAAUCAUUUGAUUUAAGACAAAAUAUUUUAAAUCAACCAGACAUAUGCCUUAAUAAUGUCGAUUUAAGUCCAAUUUCCAAUGAUCUUACAACUGAUACCAAAUUAAGACAAGAUGGUUUAAAUCAACCUGAAAUAUGCCUUAAUACUGUUGAUUUAAGUCCAAUUUGCAAUGAACUUACACCUGAUACAAAAGCUAUAAAAGAUAGCUUAGUAAAAUACAUAAAAGAAAAUGAUAUAACAAAACAAAACAAUGAAAUAACUAUACCUAUAGGUAACAUAAUAAUUCUAGAUACGAAACCUUUAAUCGAUAAUAUAGAAGACUUCAAAGAUAGAGGUUUAGAUUUGAAAAUGUGGAAAUCAAAUGUUAAAAUAGUGAAUGCUGAAAUCAAACUCAAAUGUAAAGAUGUUACUUUCAAUAAUUUUAUGCCAAUAUUGACUAAAGACAGUGUUGUUGAUUAUGCUGAUGUAAUUAAAAGAUAUAUUGAAGAUAAGUAUGGGAAUUGUAUCGUGAUGGAUCAACCGUACAGUCAAGAGAAUAGGCAUGCAGUGUUGAAUCAUUUUGAGCCUCAUGCUGUGGGUACUGAGUUUAAUUUGCUCUGGCCUAGUCAGCGUUGGUAGAGUUGAAAAUUUAAAAGGUACUAAGUAUCUUUUGUCGGUGGUUUUGCUAGCGUUCUCGUGUUUCCUGUUCCAAAUUUUGUUUCGAUCCGCUUCGUUACAAGCUUUCUUGUGCGAACUGCUAGGGAGUGGAAUUCUUUGCCAGAGUCUGUGUUUCCUGAUGGGUAUAACCUGGGUGUCUUCAAAGCCCGAGUGAAUAGGUUGCUUAUGGGCAGACGUGCUCCAUCGUAGGCCGCAUCAUUACUUACCAUCAGGCGAGAUAGCGGCCAAACGU